GUCAUGUGAAAGGAAUAUUCAGUGGUUGCUCCGUGCGACUCUUCAAAAAUGCUGAUCAACUGAACCCAGGAGGAUUAUUUAAAGCAGAGAAUCAAGCCUGGGCCAUACAAACCAGUGAUUGGUAUCACAAGCAACAAUUCAUCAGGAUCAAGUGACGAUGGAUAAAUCUCCCAUAAAAACAGAAAGUGCUGACUCCCACCCAGUGUGUUGUCUCAGAAUGACGCCUUUAACGCCUAGCAGUGUUGAUGUAGACAACGAAGGGAGUCCAUUGCUGUCUGAUGUGUCAGACAUCUUGGAAGAUGAUCUGUCUGGAAUGUCAGAAUUGUCAGACUUGGACGACUCCAUUGAAGAUUCUCUCAAAAGCAGCAGCUUUUCCCAACCCGAACGACUUCAAUUACAAAAAAAAUAUGCAAAGCUGAAAAUAAUGUACUCUAAAUUGAAAAACAAGAUGGAGAAACCAUCCAGUGAGUCAAAAUCA